GCAGGGUGUGCAGGAGAAGAGAAGACUCCUACAACCACGCAAACCACAA
rnacentral:sRNA from 1 species